rnacentral:lncRNA from 10 species
GCAUGGUGGCACAUGCCUGUAGUCCGAGCUAAUCGGGAGGCUGAGACAGGAGAAUCACUUGAACCUGGGAGGAGGAGGUUGCAGUGAGCCGAGAUCACACCACUGUGAGACUCCGUCUCAAAAAAAAAAAAAAAAAAAAAAGAAAAAAGAAAGCUAACAUUUGUUGAACACUUACUGUGUGCCACUCAUGGUUCUAGGUGUUUGACAUGUAUUACGUGUAUUAAUCAUAUAAUAUUUACAUGUUAUUACAUUCCUUUAAUCCCACAGCAGCCAUAUGAAAUGGGUGCUAUUAUUCCCAUUUUACAGAUAAGGAGACUGAGGCCCCAAGAGGUUAAAUUAUUUGCCUAAGGUCACACUUCAAGUAGGUGGUAGACCUGGAAUUCCACUUAGACAUUUUUAUUUCAGAGCUUGUGUUCUCAGCCUCUUUGCCAUUCUGCCAGAAAAAGCAACUGGAUCAGUAUAAUAAAAGAUUCGUAGCUGGGGGAAUGCCAGCCGCCAUGUUGUAAAGAUGCUCAAGAAGCCCCCUGGAGAGAGAAUCAUGUCUGUGAGAAGGAUGGAUGGAAACUCAAGAGGCAAAUUAGUUUGAAGUACUGGUAGAGCUGGACAGUUUAAACAGAGUGGUGUGGAAUGAUUAACACCUAUGUGGACUCAAGAACAAUGCAUAACAGAACUUUAAGAGUGAACCAAUGAAGACACAGCAAUAAACCAGGGAUAUUCUUGGGGGUAAGGAAGGCUGACCACUAAAGGAAAUACAUGUCAGUACAACCUGUAGUUUCUAUGUACCAUUUGAAUUAAUCUCCCCAUCCUCCUCCCAUCUGCCUUGUUCUCGCCACUGUUUGCUCAGCUCCUGCACAUACAAUACAUUUGAUAUAUAUCUAUUGAAUGAAAAAAUGUUGAUUUAGUCUAUAACUAAUAAUCGUGGCACUCCACUUCUCUAGAUUGUUCCUACAGAGGAGUUGGGUCUCAUGUUUGCUUGUGUUUAUAGAUAAAGAAGGAUUUCAUUCAGUCAUAGAAGGCUAGGGACAGACAUAUCCUGGCAUCAGUAGGCAGGCAAAGGUUAUCAGAGCCCUAGGAAGUGCAGGACAAUAAUAAGUAAGAGAAGAGCUUCAACCAUGUCAGUGUGUGUAGGAGACCUCUGUUCUUUUGUGGGCUAUACACUAUGUUCUCCUUCUUCUUUAAUAAUAGUUCCCUGAGUUACACUGGAAAACCAUCCUUUUGCUUCUUUGUCUGUAUGAUUUGAAUAAAGAGAACUCUCUGCCUCUGCAUCCUGGGAAAGACAGGUGCCCCAGACUUGGUCAAUAGAAGCUCUGUAUUCUCCUGGCAACAGUGAUUUGUUCUGAAAUGGGCAAGUGACCCAGUCGAAGCCAGUGAGAUUCAGUAGGACUUUUGCUACCACUGCUGGGAGAGAACUUGCCGUCUUUUCUGCUGCACUUGAGCCUGGGAGAAGUUGGCUCCAGAAAUUUUGCCAUCUAUCUUGCCAUCAAUCGGUAGAACUGAGAAUGAAGCCAACAGAAUGAAGUCAGAGAUUGGACAGAGAAUGAAACAGAGUUCUGAGGACAUAAUUCAGACUCUCAAUGAGGCCAUAUCCCCCUUGAUAUGGUUUGGCUGUGUCCCCACCCAAAUCUCAUCUCGAAUUGUAGCUCCCACAAUUUCCACAUGUUGUGGGAGGGAGUUGGUGGGAGGUAGUUGAAUCAUGGGGGUGGUUUCCCCCAUACUGUUAUCAUGGUAGUGAAUACGUCUCAUGAGAUCUGAUGAUUUUAUAAGGGGUUUCCCCUUUCUCUUGCCUCUCAUGCUCUUUGCCUGCCAUCAUGUUAGACGUUGUUUUGCUCCUCCUUGCCUUCUGUCAUGAUUGUGAGGCCUCCCCAGCCAUGUGGCACUGCGAGUCAAUUAAACCUCUUUCCUUUAUAAAUUACUCAGUCUUGGGUAUGUCUUUAUCAGCAGUGUGAAAAUGGACCAAUACACCCUUUUAAAGUUGCAUAUGUCAAAUUCCCUUUUUGUCUUAAGCUAAAACUUGACUUUAGUUUUCUUUCUUUUGUAACCUUAUAAGUCCUGACCAAAAGGGCUGGCUUUAGAUGGCAUACCUUUAGUCAAGGGCCCACUCAGGCCACAUACAAUAUCAGGCUCAAGGUAGCAAGACAGAGUCAGUUUUCACCAGUUGGUAGAGGUGAGGAUUCUGAUCUACUGGUUCUCUUGGGCACUGUACUGGGCUUUCAGACAGAAUAACUUAGGUGCCUGUAUUAGUCUGCUUUGCAUUGCUAUUAAAGAACACCUGAGGCUGGGUAAUUUAUAAAGAUAAGAGGUUUAUUUGGCUCACAGUUCUGCAGGCUGUACAAGAAGCAUGGCACCAGUAUCUGCUCUGCCUCUUGUGAGGUUUCAGAAGGCUUUAACUCAUGGUGGAAAGCAAAGGGGGAGCAAGUGUAUCAUACGGUGAGAUGGAAGAGAGAGAGGGGAGGUCCAAGACUCUUUUUAACAACCAGAUCUCAUGUGAACUCAUUACCACAGGGAGGUCACCAAGCCAUUCAUUAGGAAUCUGCCCCCAUAACUUAAGUACCUGCCAGUAGGUCCCACCUCCAACACUGGGGAUCACAUUUCAACAUGAGAUUAGGAGGGGACACAUAUCUAAAUUAUAUAAGUGCCUGUUACUGUGUAUGAUUGGAGAAGACAGGGACUAAUGCCAUAAGCCACCAGGAUUGAUGGAUACCUUCUGUUCUGUUCUGUUCACAGUGCUAAUAACUACAUUGUCUGCAGAAAGGUGUCCAUGAGAAAUGUGACCUGAGAUCUGAGGUGAAAUCAGCUCAAAGUUCCUGUAAAUGCAUCCAUAGGCACUUGAAUCACAAGGAAUUACAUGGGGGAUUCAGGCAUGGAGUCUCAGCAACAGAGUCCAGCAGGGAGGAUAGGAAUGUGGGUCCAGACAGGGCAGGAGGAUAUAGCAGGGAGGACAGGCUAGUGAUCGUUUGCCCAAAUAUCAAAGGCCAUGGCCAGUGCAGACUUUCGUUCAGGCACAUAUCAGCAUGAAAAGGGGCUAAUCUGGUGGUGGUGGCAGUGGUCGUAGUGGUAGGGUAUGUGUAUAGCAGGAACCUAAGUGGUGGCUCUACUUGAAAUUUUACUGCAAAGCAUGGUUCUGGGCAAUCAACCCACUCGACACAGGAAGCCAGCCACGGGAGGGCAUAUAAGGAAAGUACACAGCCUCCCCUCUCCACCUACCAUGGCAACAUGUGGUAACUGCAGGGGAGAAAAUAGACGUAGGCUCUCAUGAGGCUACCAUAAGGUGGUAGAGAUAGGGAAUACCAUAAUUCAGUGAGUUCAAAGUCAUCAAGGGCUCAUCAUAUCCAUUGAUGUUAGGGUUGAAUAAGAUAAUGCAUGUGACAUAUUAACUCUAUAACUUGCACUUCUUUAAUUAC